rnacentral:rRNA from 1 species
UACGUAGGUGGCAAGCGUUGUCCGGAAUUAUUGGGCGUAAAGGGCGCGUAGGCGGCUUGGCAAGUGGAUGGUGAAAUCCCUCGGCUUAACCGAGGAACUGCCGUCCAAACUGCUUCGCUUGAGACCGGGAGAGGUGAGUGGAAUUCCCAGUGUAGCGGUGAAAUGCGUAGAUAUUGGGAGGAACACCAGUGGCGAAGGCGGCUCACUGGACCGGUACUGACGCUGAUGCGCGAAAGCGUGGGGAGCAACGGG